CAGUCUUACCUGCGGACAAUCAGCUUUUGAGUGUGAUUAUGUGGAUUGUGAGGAGCUAAUCGCCUUCAUGCCUAUAUAUUCGUGUACUUGGGGUGUACUUAUUCGUGAGGUAAGUUAACAUCAAUUUUGGUCGUCAUAAAAUGACUGGAGGAAUGUAGCUUCGAUCUCGUAUUGAAGUGUUAUAGCCUUUGGUAGAUGUGAUUAGUCGGGAUUGGAGGUAUUGCAAC
rnacentral:rRNA from 1 species